UACAGAGGGUGCAAGCGUUAAUCGGAAUUACUGGGCGUAAAGCGCGCGUAGGUGGUUCGUUAAGUUGGAUGUGAAAUCCCCGGGCUCAACCUGGGAACUGCAUCCAAAACUGGCGAGCUAGAGUAUGGUAGAGGGUGGUGGAAUUUCCUGUGUAGCGGUGAAAUGCGUAGAUAUAGGAAGGAACACCAGUGGCGAAGGCGACCACCUGGACUGGUAUUGACGCUGAGGUGCGAAAGCGUGGGGAGCAAACAGG
rnacentral:rRNA from 1 species